CCUACGGGUGGCAGCAGUGGGGAAUAUUGGACAAUGGGCGAAAGCCUGAUCCAGCCAUGCCGCGUGUGUGAAGAAGGCCUUCGGGUUGUAAGCACUUUCAGUGGGGAAGAAAGCCUUGGGGCUAAUACCCUCGAGGAAGGACAUCACCCACAGAAGAAGCACCGGCUAACUCCGUGCCAGCAGCCGCGGUAAUACGGAGGGUGCGAGCGUUAAUCGGAAUUACUGGGCGUAAAGCGCGCGUAGGCGGUCUGAUAAGCCGGUUGUGAAAGCCCCGGGCUCAACCUGGGAACGGCAUCCGGAACUGUCAGGCUAGAGUGCAGGAGAGGAAGGUAGAAUUCCCGGUGUAGCGGUGAAAUGCGUAGAGAUCGGGAGGAAUACCAGUGGCGAAGGCGGCCUUCUGGACUGACACUGACGCUGAGGUGCGAAAGCGUGGGUAGCAAACAGGAUUAGAUACCCCUGUAGUC
rnacentral:rRNA from 1 species